AGUGGUUCUAAAUAGUUCAACAGUCUAUACCGAAAUUGUGAAAUGUUUAGGACCACUUG
ensembl:miRNA